rnacentral:rRNA from 1 species
UACGGGGGGGGCAAGCGUUGUUCGGAAUUACUGGGCGUAAAGGGCUCGUAGGCGGCCAACUAAGUCAGACGUGAAAUCCCUCGGCUUAACCGGGGAACUGCGCCUGAUACUGGAUGGCUUGAAUCCGGGAGAGGGAUGCGGAAUUCCAGGUGUAGCGGUGAAAUGCGUAGAUAUCUGGAGGAACACCGGUGGCGAAGGCGGCAUCCUGGACCGGCAUUGACGCUGAGGAGCGAAAGCCAGGGGAGCAAACGGG